rnacentral:tRNA from 1 species
GCGCUUGUGGUUCAGUGGUAGAAUGCAUCGUUGCCAUCGAUGCGACCCGGGUUCAAUUCCCGGCAGGCGCA